rnacentral:rRNA from 1 species
UACGUAGGGUCCAAGCGUUAAUCGGAAUUACUGGGCGUAAAGCGUGCGCAGGCGGUUGUGUAAGUCAGAUGUGAAAUCCCCGGGCUCAACCUGGGAAUUGCAUUUGAGACUGCACGGCUAGGGUGUGUCAGAGGGGGGUAGAAUUCCACGUGUAGCAGUGAAAUGCGUAGAGAUGUGGAGGAAUACCGAUGGCGAAGGCAGCCCCCUGGGAUAACACUGACGCUCAUGCACGAAAGCGUGGGGAGCAAACAGG